AGCUAGCUAAAAUGGCUUCCAAGUCUCUGGCCUUCGUGUGCGUCAUCUUCGCCUUCCUCGUCAUCGUCUCGCAAGGCGUGGUUGCUGCUAGGGAUCUCACACAUGUUAACAGAGCAGGAGGUAACAAUUACGGUGGUGGCUGGUCGGGCUCCUACGGAGGACGACGCCCGUGACGGAUGCUCUUCGUAAGAAUCUAGCAAAUAAAUGCAGUUCCGGUUUGCUUUUGCAGAUCAUUCAUGUGUAUGGUAUAGUAUAUAGUUUCUGUGUACAAGCUAGCUAGGUAUGUAUGUGCCCUGUCCCCUGUGUACUCAAGAUGAACUUGAAUGAAAUGUAUCGACUGUUCUGG
rnacentral:rRNA from 1 species